GAUGAACGCUAGCGGCAGGCCUAAUACAUGCAAGUCGAACGGCAGUAGAACCAGCAAUGGGACUAUGAGAGUGGCGAACGGGUGCGUAACGCGUAUGCAACUUACCUCCAACUGGGGAAUAGCCCUGGGAAACCGGGAUUAACACCGCAUAAGAUGGUAGAACCGCAUGGUUCAGCCAUUAAAGUUUACGGUUGGAGAUGGGCAUGCGUGCCAUUAGCUAGUUGGCGGGGUAAUAGCCCACCAAGGCGAC
rnacentral:rRNA from 1 species